rnacentral:rRNA from 1 species
AUUCUACCUUGACGAAUUGUAGUUUAAAGAAGUGUUUUCUGUUAGAGGAGUAGCAAAAGUUCCUUGGAAUGGGACAUCAUAGAGGGUGAGAAUCCCGUAUUUGGUUAUUCUUUCUAGCUUUGUGAUUCACUUUCAAAGAGUCGGAUUGUUUGGGAAUGCAGUCCAAAAUGGGUGGUAAAUUUCAUCUAAAGCUAAAUAUUGGCGAGAGACCGAUAGCGAACAAGUACCGUGAGGGAAAGAUGAAAAGAACUUUGAAAAGAGAGUUAAACAGUACGUGAAAUUGUCAAAAGGGAAGCGUUUGACACCAGUGUUGUUUUUCCGAAAAUCAAUUAAGAAGGGCUUGAUUUUGUGUUGUAUUGACCUUAUCAGCUUUCUUCACUCUUUUUCGAGUCUUUCUU